rnacentral:tRNA from 1 species
AUUUAUAUAGUUUAUAAAAACAUUAUAUUUUCAAUAUAAAAAUAGAAUUUAUCUUAUAAAUA